GGCCGGCCUCUUUAGAGAGAAAGGAGAGCUUUGUGUUCUCUCUAAUUUCCUCAAAAACCCUAAAUGAAUUUUGGCUAUAAAGUCAUAUUUAUACCUUUAUUCAUUGGAGUGGCAAACUUGUAAUUAAAGCAAGUUCACUACCCUUUCUCUAAAUGGCCGGCCAUAGGGUUUUAUUGGGCUUAUUGGGCCUUUGUGAAUUAAGUUGUCAUACAACUUAAGUCAAUGGGCUUGACGUUCGAAGCCCAUUGGGC
rnacentral:lncRNA from 1 species